GUUAGGAAUAUUGGACAAUGGGCGAAAGCCUGAUCCAGCCAUGCCGCGUGAACGAUGAAGGCCUUCGGGUUGUAAAGUUCUUUAGCCGAUGAUUAUAAUGACUGUAGUCGGAAAAUAAGCCCCGGCUAACUUCGUGCCAGCAGCCGCGGUAAUACGAAGGGGGCGAGCGUUAUUCGGAAUCACUGGGCGUAAAGCGUGCGUAGGCGGUUUUGUAAGUUAGGAGUGAAAGCCCAGGGCUCAACCUUGGAAUUGCUCUUAAAACUGCAAGGCUCGAAUCUCGGAGAGGAUAGCGGAAUUUCCAGUGUAGCAGUGAAAUGCGUAGAUAUUGGAAGGAACACCAGUGGCGUAAGCGGCUAUCUGGACGAGUAUUGACGCUGAGGCACGAAAGCGUGGGGAUCAAACAGGAUUAGAUACUCCAGUAGUCC
rnacentral:rRNA from 1 species